UCGGCAGAGCGUCUCCAUGGUAAGGAGAAGGUCUACGGUUCGAUUCCGUAUUGGGGCUCUGGUGUGAGAGGUU
rnacentral:tRNA from 1 species